GUCAAAUUUACAUAGGGCACGAGAGAUUGCUGAGACCAGGUGUGCCAUUUGCAUAGCUCACGAAGAACCUGGCCAUCCCACCCUAGGCUUUUAUUAUUUUGGAUUUGCAGAUGGGGUCUCUACCUGGUCAGAACCAUGUUACCUGCUUUUUUACUGCACAUGUGGCGACAAAGAAAAGGGAAGAGGGAACCUCCAUGUUGAAUAUUCCUGGCUUCCAGGCUUGGUGUCCUGCUGCCCGCCCAGUCUCCUGCGGUGCCUGCACAGUCUUCUGCACUUCCACCUGCACUGUGCGUGGACAGACUGGCUGUUGCAGUCUGUCAUCUUGUCAUUCCUGUGGCUGAUGAGGUGGAGGAAGGACUUCUCCCACAAGGUCUGUAAUCUUUUAAAGGGACAGUAAGAUACCACAGUCUCGCCCCCUUAUUCCUUUUGGCAUGUCAACUAUUACAACUCUGUUUGUUAAAACAUUCACGUAUCCCAGGCUGGGUGCAGUGGCUGAUGCCUGUAAUCCCAGCACUUUGGAAGGCUGAGGUGGGAGGAUCACUGGAGGUCAGGAGAUCAAGACCAGCCUGAACAACACGGUGAAACCCCGUCUCUACUAAAGAUACAAAAAUUAGCCCGGUGUGGUAAUGCGCACCUGUAAUUCCAGCUACUCAGGAGGCUGA
rnacentral:lncRNA from 1 species